rnacentral:rRNA from 1 species
GGUUAAGCGACUAAGCGUACACGGUGGAUGCCCUGGCAGUCAGAGGCGAUGAAGGACGUGCUAAUCUGCGAAAAGCGUCGGUAAGGUGAUAUGAACCGUUACAGCCGGCGAUGUCCGAAUGGGGAAACCCAGUGCAAUUCGUUGCACUAUCGUUAACUGAAUACAUAGGUUAACGAGGCGAACCGGGGGAACUGAAACAUCUAAGUACCCCGAGGAAAAGAAAUCAACCGAGAUUCCCCCAGUAGCGGCGAGCGAACGGGGAGCAGCCCAGAGUCUGAAUCAGCUUGUGUGUUAGUGGAACGGUCUGGAAAGUCCGACGGUACAGGGUGAUAGUCCCGUACACCAAAAUGCACAGGCUGUGAACUCGAAGAGUAGGGCGGGACACGUGGUAUCCUGUCUGAAUAUGGGGGGACCAUCCUCCAAGGCUAAAUACUCCUGACUGACCGAUAGUGAACCAGUACCGUGAGGGAAAGGCGAAAAGAACCCCGGCGAGGGGAGUGAAAAAGAACCUGAAACCGUGUACGUACAAGCAGUGGGAGCACCUUCGGGUGUGACUGCGUACCUUUUGUAUAAUGGGUCAGCGACUUAUAUUCUGUAGCAAGGUUAACCGUAUAGGGGAGCCGCAGGGAAACCGAGUCUUAACUGGGCGUUAAGUUGCAGGGUAUAGACCCGAAACCCGGUGAUCUAGCCAUGGGCAGGUUGAAGGUUGGGUAACACUAACUGGAGGACCGAACCGACUAAUGUUGAAAAAUUAGCGGAUGACUUGUGGCUGGGGGUGAAAGGCCAAUCAAACCGGGAGAUAGCUGGUUCUCCCCGAAAGCUAUUUAGGUAGCGCCUCGUGAACUCAUCUUCGGGGGUAGAGCACUGUUUCGGCUAGGGGGUCAUCCCGACUUACCAACCCGAUGCAAACUACGAAUACCGAAGAAUGUUAUCACGGGAGACACACGGCGGGUGCUAACGUCCGUCGUGAAGAGGGAAACAACCCAGACCGCCAGCUAAGGUCCCAAAGUCAUGGUUAAGUGGGAAACGAUGUGGGAAGGCACAGACAGCCAGGAUGUUGGCUUAGAAGCAGCCAUCAUUUAAAGAAAGCGUAAUAGCUCACUGGUCGAGUCGGCCUGCGCGGAAGAUGUAACGGGGCUAAACCAUGCACCGAAGCUGCGGCAGCGACACUAUGUGUUGUUGGGUAGGGGAGCGUUCUGUAAGCCUGCGAAGGUGUGCUGUGAGGCAUGCUGGAGGUAUCAGAAGUGCGAAUGCUGACAUAAGUAACGAUAAAGCGGGUGAAAAGCCCGCUCGCCGGAAGACCAAGGGUUCCUGUCCAACGUUAAUCGGGGCAGGGUGAGUCGACCCCUAAGGCGAGGCCGAAAGGCGUAGUCGAUGGGAAACAGGUUAAUAUUCCUGUACUUGGUGUUACUGCGAAGGGGGGACGGAGAAGGCUAUGUUAGCCGGGCGACGGUUGUCCCGGUUUAAGCAUGUAGGCUGGUUGUCCAGGCAAAUCCGGAUAAUCAAGGCUGAGGUGUGAUGACGAGGCACUACGGUGCUGAAGUAACAAAUGCCCUGCUUCCAGGAAAAGCCUCUAAGCAUCAGGUAACAUCAAAUCGUACCCCAAACCGACACAGGUGGUCAGGUAGAGAAUACCAAGGCGCUUGAGAGAACUCGGGUGAAGGAACUAGGCAAAAUGGUGCCGUAACUUCGGGAGAAGGCACGCUGGUGUGUAGGUGAAGCCCCUGCGGGUGGAGCUGAGACCAGUCGAAGAUACCAGCUGGCUGCAACUGUUUAUUAAAAACACAGCACUGUGCAAACACGAAAGUGGACGUAUACGGUGUGACGCCUGCCCGGUGCCGGAAGGUUAAUUGAUGGGGUUAUCCGUAAGGAGAAGCUCUUGAUCGAAGCCCCGGUAAACGGCGGCCGUAACUAUAACGGUCCUAAGGUAGCGAAAUUCCUUGUCGGGUAAGUUCCGACCUGCACGAAUGGCGUAAUGAUGGCCAGGCUGUCUCCACCCGAGACUCAGUGAAAUUGAACUCGCUGUGAAGAUGCAGUGUACCCGCGGCAAGACGGAAAGACCCCGUGAACCUUUACUAUAGCUUGACACUGAACAUUGAGCCUUGAUGUGUAGGAUAGGUGGGAGGCUUUGAAGCGUGGACGCCAGUCUGCGUGGAGCCAACCUUGAAAUACCACCCUUUAAUGUUUGAUGUUCUAACGUUGGCCCCUUACCGGGGUUGCGGACAGUGUCUGGUGGGUAGUUUGACUGGGGCGGUCUCCUCCCAAAGCGUAACGGAGGAGCACGAAGGUUAGCUAAUCCUGGUCGGACAUCAGGAGGUUAGUGCAAUGGCAUAAGCUAGCUUGACUGCGAGCGUGACGGCGCGAGCAGGUGCGAAAGCAGGUCAUAGUGAUCCGGUGGUUCUGAAUGGAAGGGCCAUCGCUCAACGGAUAAAAGGUACUCCGGGGAUAACAGGCUGAUACCGCCCAAGAGUUCAUAUCGACGGCGGUGUUUGGCACCUCGAUGUCGGCUCAUCACAUCCUGGGGCUGAAGUAGGUCCCAAGGGUAUGGCUGUUCGCCAUUUAAAGUGGUACGCGAGCUGGGUUUAGAACGUCGUGAGACAGUUCGGUCCCUAUCUGCCGUGGGCGCUGGAGAAUUGAGGGGGGCUGCUCCUAGUACGAGAGGACCGGAGUGGACGCAUCACUGGUGUUCGGGUUGUCAUGCCAAUGGCACUGCCCGGUAGCUAAAUGCGGAAGAGAUAAGUGCUGAAAGCAUCUAAGCACGAAACUUGCCCCGAGAUGAGUUCUCCCUGAGACUUUAAGUCUCCUGAAGGAACGUUGAAGACGAUGACGUUGAUAGGCCGGGUGUGUAAGCGCAGCGAUGCGUUGAGCUAACCGGUACUAAUGAACCGUGAGGCUUAACCUU